UACGGGGGAGCAAGCGUUGUUCGGAUUUACUGGGCGUAAAGGGCGCGUAGGCGGCCACCGCAAGUCGACUGUGAAAUCUCCGGGCUUAACUCGGAAAGGUCAGCCGAUACUGCGGGGCUAGAGUGCAGAAGGGGCAACUGGAAUUCUCGGUGUAGCGGUGAAAUGCGUAGAUAUCGAGAGGAACACCUGCGGCGAAGGCGGGUUGCUGGGCCUUGA
rnacentral:rRNA from 1 species